AUUAAUCCCAUGGUAUUGCAGGCAUGGUAGGAUGCUAGAUGUCGAAACAGAGACCAAUCCCAUAGAUCGAAUCGUGGCCCAUUUGCUCUUCCAUAGGCAUUUGGAUUUAUCAGAGAAACAUUCUGACGCACCUGAAUCACCUGUUUCUUCUAAGUUGACAUGUGAACACAAAGCAGGUUUAGUGAACGUGUCAAAUGAAUGCUUGCCAGACAGUUUGAAGAACAAACAAUGCUUUCCUCGUGAAGGAUCUACAAAUUAUUGCCCAUUGGGUGGUCCGACACAUGGUGGAGCUAUGAAGGCUGAAGCCUCUCUGUGAACAAAUAUGUGUCACAUAAUUUGAUAAGGCCAACCACGAUCUUCAUCAAGUGUGGUCAUGGAGCUUCCGGCAACACUAUCGAUGGGGAGUAUCCUAUAAUUGAAUACGCUUCAUAAAAAGAUUGCAUGUUUCAAGACAAUGUUCAGUAUAAGUAGUUAUGCAUGUGUCAACUGUCAUAAGAUUGGCUAAAGUGCCUCUUUAAACAUAAACGAGGCCAUACCUUGCUACCUG